UUGAACGCUGGCGGCAGGCCUCACCCAUGCCAGUCGAGCGGAUGAAGGGAGCUUGCUCCUGGAUUCAGCGGCGGACGGGUGAGUAAUGCCUAGGAAUCUGCCUGGUAGUAGGGGAUAACGUCCGGAAACGGGCGCUAAUACCGCAUACGUCCUGAGGGAGAAAGUGGGGGAUCUUCGGACCUCACGCUAUCAGAUGAGCCUAGGUCGGAUUAGCUAGUUGGUGGGGUAAAGGCCUACCAAGGCGACGAUCCGUAACUGGUCUGAGAGGAUGAUCAGUCACACUGGAACUGAGACACGGUCCAGACUCCUACGGGAGGCAGCAGUGGGGAAUAUUGGACAAUGGGCGAAAGCCUGAUCCAGCCAUGCCGCGUGUGUGAAGAAGGUCUUCGGAUUGUAAAGCACUUUAAGUUGGGAGGAAGGGCAGUAAGUUAAUACCUUGCUGUUUUGACGUUACCAACAGAAUAAGCACCGGCUAACUUCGUG
rnacentral:rRNA from 1 species